rnacentral:rRNA from 1 species
AGUGAACGCUGGCGGUAGGCCUAACACAUGCAAGUCGAACGGCAGCACAGUAAGAGCUUGCUCUUACGGGUGGCGAGUGGCGGACGGGUGAGGAAUACAUCGGAAUCUACUUUUUCGUGGGGGAUAACGUAGGGAAACUUACGCUAAUACCGCAUCCGACCUACGGGUGAAAGCAGGGGAUCUUCGGACCUUGCGCGAUUGAAUGAGCCGAUGUCGGAUUAGCUAGUUGGCGGGGUAAAGGCCCACCAAGGCGACGAUCCGUAGCUGGUCUGAGAGGAUGAUCAGCCACACUGGAACUGAGACACGGUCCAGACUCCUACGGGAGGCAGCAGUGGGGAAUAUUGGACAAUGGGCGCAAGCCUGAUCCAGCCAUACCGCGUGGGUGAAGAAGGCCUUCGGGUUGUAAAGCCCUUUUGUUGGGAAAGAAAAGCAGCAGGCUAAUACCCCGCUGUUCUGACGGUACCCAAAGAAUAAGCACCGGCUAACUUCGUG